GCCUUGGCUUCCUACUGCAGUUCGUCAGCACCUCCUUGCGCCCUGUCCAGCGUCCUGCUCGGUUCGGUUCCUUUCCGGCAACCAGCUGAAGCUCCGCCCCAUGACGUUUGGAUCCGGCCACCGUGUUCAGGCAGCUGGCCGUUCGUCUUCCACUUUCUCUUCCUUCGUUGACCUGCCCGCUUGCUUUUUCUCUGCGUUCCUGUGAGCGUACGUCUCCCUGUGUGCUUACCGUGGAAGCUGGCCGCGCCCCUUCUCGGCCUCUUCUCUCCAUGGCGCUCCGCCGAGUGGCUCCCCUGCGCGUCUCUUUCUGCUCGCUCGCGCACAGCUCACGGAGCUUUUCCUCGUCGGCCCCAGCUCAGUCGGGUCUCCCUGGUAUUCCAGCUCGUCGUCGCGUCAUUCGUCGUCGACCUCGCUAAAUACGUUGUCGCUUGAUCCUGUGUCGUUAGGCUAAUCAACCAUGUUCGCUGCCGCGCGCGCUUGUCUCUAAUACUGCUCGCGUGGUAUUUGGAUCUCGUCGAUUAGCCCCACCAUCCUUGUUUUCCUCUGGUCACGAUAAAAUCCUGUCCCACCAGGUCAUCGGGCGCUGUUCCCAGCUCACUAUGGAGUUUGCUGGGCUCGCCAUAUUUUUAAAUGUCGUCAAAUCAUCGGAGUUGCUCAACUCACCAAUCGUAUUUUGGCCGUCCCUAUCCGAACUUACCAGCUCGCCGACUGAGCAUCGUGUUCCUUGAAAUCCCUUGUCGGUCGACCUUGUGACUUAGUUCGUCGUGUCGUGUGUGCAGCUCUAUAUAUGCCACUCUCCUAUAUCGUCGUCAAAGCUGUCAUCCCCUGUUCAACCCCCACCUCACCAGCUCACUCCAAACACGAUCUUGUCGUCGUUUCGUGUGUCGUCAAGAAAUCCCAAGCGUCGGGUGAAGACGAAGUUAACAGCGCGAUAUUUCCCCAAGCGCUCGACAAGUUGGUUGGAUCGGAAAAUCGCUACCGAUCUCGCGGAUUCGUGUCAGGUGUGGAAACGGUACGUUAAUUAGUCGCGUGAUGCGGAAGAUGACUCAAGUCGACCCCAAGCAUGGGCUACUCCGCAUGGUGAUGCUGAUGAACGAACCUGCCUGAUCAAGUGCUAGGACAAGGAUGAUCGUCAAGUGGACAUCGUCUAACAAACACUAACCUAGUGUUACCCAGGCAAGCCCCGGUGCAUGCAACCCCUUUCCUUGUGUUUUUAAAUACUUUUCGCACACUUUGAGUCUAGUGAAAUGUGCAUUAGGUUCAUAGGAGUUGCUUGGAACCCUUUGAUGCAUUGCUUUCCUUGAUAUCCAUACCUUUAUAGAUACUUCUAUGAAGUAUCAAAAUAUGAUU